rnacentral:rRNA from 1 species
GAUGAACGCUGGCGGCGUGCCUAAUACAUGCAAGUCGAGCGAACGGACGAGGAGCUUGCUCCUCUGACGUUAGCGGCGGACGGGUGAGUAACACGUGGAUAACCUACCUAUAAGACUGGGAUAACUUCGGGAAACCGGAGCUAAUACCGGAUAAUAUGUUGAAUCGCAUGGUUCAACAGUGAAAGACGGUCUUGCUGUCACUUAUAGAUGGAUCCGCGCCGCAUUAGCUAGUUGGUAAGGUAACGGCUUACCAAGGCAACGAUGCGUAGCCGACCUGAGAGGGUGAUCGGCCACACUGGAACUGAGACACGGUCCAGACUCCUACGGGAGGCAGCAGUAGGGAAUCUUCCGCAAUGGGCGAAAGCCUGACGGAGCAACGCCGCGUGAGUGAAGAAGGUCUUCGGAUCGUAAAACUCUGUUAUUAGGGAAGAACAAAUGUGUAAGUAACUAUGCACGUCUUGACGGUACCUAAUCAGAAAGCCACGGCUAACUACGUG